rnacentral:rRNA from 1 species
CCAUCUCCUAAGGCUAAAUACUCUCUAGUGACCGAUAGUGAACCAGUACCGUGAGGGAAAGGUGAAAAGCACCCCGGAAGGGGAGUGAAAUAGAACCUGAAACCGUGUGCUUACAAGUAGUCAGAGCCCGUUAAUGGGUGAUGGCGUGCCUUUUGUAGAAUGAACCGGCGAGUUACGAUUUGAUGCAAGGUUAAGCAGUAAAUGUGGAGCCGUAGCGAAAGCGAGUCUGAAUAGGGCGUUUAGUAUUUGGUCGUAGACCCGAAACCAGGUGAUCUACCCUUGGUCAGGUUGAAGUUCAGGUAACACUGAAUGGAGGACCGAACCGACUUACGUUGAAAAGUGAGCGGAUGAACUGAGGGUAGCGGAGAAAUUCCAAUCGAACCUGGAGAUAGCUGGUUCUCUCCGAAAUAGCUUUAGGGCUAGCCUCAAGUGAUGAUUAUUGGAGGUAGAGCACUGUUUGGACGAGGGGCCCCUCUCGGGUUACCGAAUUCAGACAAACUCCGAAUGCCAAUUAAUUUAACUUGGGAGUCAGAACAUGGGUGAUAAGGUCCGUGUUCGAAAGGGAAACAGCCCAGACCACCAGCUAAGGUCCCAAAAUAUAUGUUAAGUGGAAAAGGAUGUGGCGUUGCCCAGACAACUAGGAUGUUGGCUUAGAAGCAGCCAUCAUUUAAAGAGUGCGUAAUAGCUCACUAGUCGAGUGACACUGCGCCGAAAAUGUACCGGGGCUAAACAUAUUACCGAAGCUGUGGAUUGUCCUUUGGACAAUGGUAGGAGAGCGUUCUAAGGGCGUUGAAGCAUGAUCGUAAGGACAUGUGGAGCGCUUAGAAGUGAGAAUGCCGGUGUGAGUAGCGAAAGACGGGUGAGAAUCCCGUCCACCGAUUGACUAAGGUUUCCAGAGGAAGGCUCGUCCGCUCUGGGUUAGUCGGGUCCUAAGCUGAGGCCGACAGGCGUAGGCGAUGGAUAACAGGUUGAUAUUCCUGUACCACCUAUAAUCGUUUUAAUCGAUGGGGGGACGCAGUAGGAUAGGCGAAGCGUGCGAUUGGAUUGCACGUCUAAGCAGUAAGGCUGAGUAUUAGGCAAAUCCGGUACUCAUUAAGGCUGAGCUGUGAUGGGGAGAAGACAUUGUGUCUUCGAGUCGUUGAUUUCACACUGCCGAGAAAAGCCUCUAGAUAGAAAAUAGGUGCCCGUACCGCAAACCGACACAGGUAGUCAAGAUGAGAAUUCUAAGGUGAGCGAGCGAACUCUCGUUAAGGAACUCGGCAAAAUGACCCCGUAACUUCGGGAGAAGGGGUGCUCUUUAGGGUUAACGCCCAGAAGAGCCGCAGUGAAUAGGCCCAAGCGACUGUUUAUCAAAAACACAGGUCUCUGCUAAACCGUAAGGUGAUGUAUAGGGGCUGACGCCUGCCCGGUGCUGGAAGGUUAAGAGGAGUGGUUAGCUUCUGCGAAGCUACGAAUCGAAGCCCCAGUAAACGGCGGCCGUAACUAUAACGGUCCUAAGGUAGCGAAAUUCCUUGUCGGGUAAGUUCCGACCCGCACGAAAGGCGUAACGAUUUGGGCACUGUCUCAACGAGAGACUCGGUGAAAUCAUAGUACCUGUGAAGAUGCAGGUUACCCGCGACAGGACGGAAAGACCCCGUGGAGCUUUACUGUAGCCUGAUAUUGAAAUUCGGCACAGCUUGUACAGGAUAGGUAGGAGCCUUUGAAACGUGAGCGCUAGCUUACGUGGAGGCGCUGGUGGGAUACUACCCUAGCUGUGUUGGCUUUCUAACCCGCACCACUUAUCGUGGUGGGAGACAGUGUCAGGCGGGCAGUUUGACUGGGGCGGUCGCCUCCUAAAAGGUAACGGAGGCGCUCAAAGGUUCCCUCAGAAUGGUUGGAAAUCAUUCAUAGAGUGUAAAGGCAUAAGGGAGCUUGACUGCGAGACCUACAAGUCGAGCAGGGUCGAAAGACGGACUUAGUGAUCCGGUGGUUCCGCAUGGAAGGGCCAUCGCUCAACGGAUAAAAGCUACCCCGGGGAUAACAGGCUUAUCUCCCCCAAGAGUUCACAUCGACGGGGAGGUUUGGCACCUCGAUGUCGGCUCAUCGCAUCCUGGGGCUGUAGUCGGUCCCAAGGGUUGGGCUGUUCGCCCAUUAAAGCGGUACGCGAGCUGGGUUCAGAACGUCGUGAGACAGUUCGGUCCCUAUCCGUCGUGGGCGUAGGAAAUUUGAGAGGAGCUGUCCUUAGUACGAGAGGACCGGGAUGGACAUACCUCUGGUGUACCAGUUGUCGUGCCAACGGCAUAGCUGGGUAGCUAUGUGUGGACGGGAUAAGUGCUGAAAGC